rnacentral:rRNA from 1 species
CCUACGGGAGGCAGCAGUGGGGAAUAUUGGACAAUGGGGGGAACCCUGAUCCAGCCAUGCCGCGUGUGUGAAGAAGGCCCUCGGGUUGUAAAGUACUUUCAGUGGGGAAGAACGCCUGGUGGUUAAUACCCAUCAGGAAAGACAUCACUCACAGAAGAAGCACCGGCUAACUCCGUGCCAGCAGCCGCGGUAAUACGGAGGGUGCGAGCGUUAAUCGGAAUUACUGGGCGUAAAGCGCGCGUAGGUGGCUUGAUAAGCCGGUUGUGAAAGCCCCGGGCUCAACCUGGGAACGGCAUCCGGAACUGUCAAGCUAGAGUGCAGGAGAGGAAGGUAGAAUUCCCGGUGUAGCGGUGAAAUGCGUAGAGAUCGGGAGGAAUACCAGUGGCGAAGGCGGCCUUCUGGACUGACACUGACACUGAGGUGCGAAAGCGUGGGUAGCAAACAGGAUUAGAUACCCUUGUAGUC